CCUCUUUCUACGUGCUGUUGGAGAAGAAAGACGUGACGUGCCCAUGAUUUCAUUUACUAUCUAUUUCAGCAUCUUCCUCCUGCGUGCGUACAUCGGACUCAACGCAAAGAUGCCGUCCGACACGGCGGUGGGAAGCAGGGGAUACCAGCUGAAGAACAGCGAGUCCAGCCAGGACGCCAGGAGAUAACGGUGGAGGACCGUGGUUGUUAUGGCGACCGACCGCCACGACUUUAGGGUGGGAUGUUAGGUGCAGCAGAGCCAGACCAGGAAGUAGGCCUCGACCUCCACCCACUCGGAUCCAAAACACAGCAAAAAACAAAUCGUAGCAACGCGUGGUCAAUAUAGCGUCGGCCCACCCUCUAGGGGGAGCGGACGUAGGCCGCACUGAGGAACACCCCCACUGGUCACCCUCUCUCUCUCAUCCCUACCCCUCACCUCUCCAACCCCACCCUAGCCUCCAUCACCCUCCACACAACUCUCUCUUGGAGUUGAGUGGAGGAGUGAGCCGGGGUUGCCAUGGCUACGUCGACAUCCA